GAGUUUGAUCGUGGCUCAGAUUGAACGCUGGCGGCAUGCCUUACACAUGCAAGUCGAACGCGAAAGGGGGGCAACCCCUGAGUAGAGUGGCGCACGGGUGAGUAAUGCAUCGGAACGUGUCCUGUAGCGGGGGAUAACCUAGCGAAAGCUAGGCUAAUACCGCAUACGUCCUACGGGAGAAAGUGGGGGAUCGUAAGACCUCACACUAUAGGAGCGGCCGAUGCCGGAUUAGCUAGUUGGUGAGGUAAAAGCUCACCAAGGCGACGAUCCGUAGCUGGUCUGAGAGGAUGAUCAGCCACACUGGGACUGAGACACGGCCCAGACUCCUACGGGAGGCAGCAGUGGGGAAUUUUGGACAAUGGGGGAAACCCUGAUCCAGCCAUGCCGCGUGAGUGAAGAAGGCCUUGGUUGUAAGCUCUUCGGUCCGGGCGAAACUACGCAUGCGUGAAUAUCGCGUGUGGACGACGGUACC
rnacentral:rRNA from 1 species